CGUUGUUCGGAAUUACUGGGCGUAAAGCGCGCGCAGGCGGUCUUCCAAGUCAGUGGUGAAAGCCCGGAGCUCAACUCCGGAACUGCCAUUGAAACUGUGAGACUUGAGGAUGAGAGAGGUGAGUGGAAUUCCCAGUGUAGAGGUGAAAUUCGUAGAUAUUGGGAAGAACACCGGUGGCGAAGGCGGCUCACUGGCUCAUUUCUGACGCUCAGGCGCGACAGCGUGGGGAUCAAACAGG
rnacentral:rRNA from 1 species